UUAGGAAGAUUUCAAGACAAUUAUUUGUACCCAGUUUCUGCUAAAAAGGAUUAUAAGAGUGCAGCCGGAACAACUUCUAAGAAGUUUAGCAGAGACACAAGAGUGUUCGGGAGUAUCUAAGCGCAUUCGACCAUUUGGCACAAUAUGCUCCCGAAUAUAUGAACACUGAGUCUGAGAAAAGGAGUUGAUCCCAAAUACUUUUACAAAUUAUAGCUCUGCCAUGAACAUAGUAACCCCCAGAGAAGAUGCGAGCUUUGGACAAGCCCCUUGGAAAAGAGGAGUCCUUGGAAUAGGGGGACAUUUCUUUCGAGGGAUCUGAAAGUAUUUCUCAGGAGCUGAAGGUUGUCUACUAAGAACCUGCUAGAUCUAUUUAUAGGCCCCAACCACAAUUGUCAUCUCAGUCAUGGGUUAUCCAGAACCCAGAUAAUACUCCGUGUUCGACAAACCCAUAAGUACCUGGAAAGUUAAAGCACCACUACCCUUGC
rnacentral:lncRNA from 1 species